UACGUAGGGGGCUAGCGUUGUCCGGAAUCAUUGGGCGUAAAGAGCGCGUAGGCGGCCAGAUAAGUCCGGUGUGAAAGUCAAAGGCUCAACCUUUGAAUGCCGCUGGAAACUGGCAGGCUUGAGUACGAAAGAGGGUCGCGGAACUCCCGGUGUAGAGGUGAAAUUCGUAGAUAUCGGGAGGAACACCGGUGGCGAAGGCGGCGGCCUGGUUCGAUACUGACACUGAGGUGCGAAAGCGUGGGGAGCAAACAGG
rnacentral:rRNA from 1 species